rnacentral:rRNA from 1 species
GAUGAACGCUGGCGGCGUGCCUAAUACAUGCAAGUCGAGCGAACAGACGAGGAGCUUGCUCCUCUGACGUUAGCGGCGGACGGGUGAGUAACACGUGGAUAACCUACCUAUAAGACUGGGAUAACUUCGGGAAACCGGAGCUAAUACCGGAUAAUAUAUUGAACCGCAUGGUUCAAUAGUGAAAGACGGUUUUGCUGUCACUUAUAGAUGGAUCCGCGCCGCAUUAGCUAGUUGGUAAGGUAACGGCUUACCAAGGCAACGAUGCGUAGCCGACCUGAGAGGGGGAUCGGCCACAAGGGAACUGAGACACGGUCCAGACUCCUACGGGAGGCAGCAGUAGGGAAUCUUCCGCAAUGGGCGAAAGCCUGACGGAGCAACGCCGGGUGAGUGAUGAAGGUCUUCGGAUCGUAAAACUCUGUUAUUAGGGAAGAACAAAUGUGUAAGUAACUAUGCACGUCUUGACGGUACCUAAUCAGAAAGCCACGGCUAACUACGUG